UGCCUAACACAUGCAAGUCGAACGAAACCUUCGGGUCUAGUGGCGCACGGGUGCGUAACGCGUGGGAAUCUGCCCUUGGGUUCGGAAUAACACUUAGAAAUGACUGCUAAUACCGGAUGAUGACUUAAGUCCAAAGAUUUAUCGCCGAGGGAUGAGCCCGCGUAGGAUUAGCUAGUUGGUGAGGUAAAGGCUCACCAAGGCGACGAUCCUUAGCUGGUCUGAGAGGAUGAUCAGCCACACUGGGACUGAGACACGGCCCAGACUCCUACGGGAGGCAGCAGUGGGGAAUAUUGGACAAUGGGCGAAAGCCUGAUCCAGCAAUGCCGCGUGAGUGAUGAAGGCCUCAGGGUUGUAAAGCUCUUUUACCCGGGAUGAUAAUGACAGUAACGGGAGAAUAAGCCCCGGCUAACUCCGUGCCAGCAGCCGCGGUAAU
rnacentral:rRNA from 1 species